GUCAAUAUGUUUUCAUUCGGAGCCAGGUAAAGUUCCUGAAAUUUUACUUUUUGCUGAUGGCGAAAAUGAUCAAAACAUAGUUUUUAUCAGUUUGGUCUGAAUACUGGCUUUAACAAGUGUUUUGUUAAUCAAAGGUGAAAAUAUUAGUUCGAAGUGCUAUCCGUUGAAAUUCGCUCACGAAAUAUUUUUGCAACGCAGCAGGAGAAAAAACAUUCCCGUUAUUUCGUCAUAAUGAAUUCCUUUCUAAGAGGAUCCACCAACUAUGUUUGGUGUACGACAAGCGUCCUAGGCAAAGGAGCAACUGGUGCGGUAUUCCAAGGUGUGAAUAAACACAAUGGGGAACCAGUUGCCGUGAAAACCUUCAACCAGCUCAGCCAUAUGAGACCUCACGACGUACAGAUGAGGGAGUUCGAGGUGCUCCGGAAGGUCAAACAUAACAAUAUUGUUAAGCUGUUGGAUAUUGAGGAUGAUCAAGAAGGGCGGGGUAAGGUGAUCGUUAUGGAGCUCUGUACUGGUGGAAGUUUGUUUAACAUACUGGACGACCCGGAGAAUACAUAUGGAUUACCACAGCGCGAGUUCCUGUUAGUGCUGGAACAUCUUUCGGCAGGUAUGAAACAUUUGCGAGAUAAUAAUCUAGUUCAUCGAGAUUUAAAGCCUGGAAACAUAAUGAAGUACAUCUCGGAAGAUGGUCAGACAAUAUACAAGCUGACGGACUUUGGAGCUGCCCGAGAGCUAGAGGAGAAUCAGCAGUUUGUGUCGCUAUACGGCACGGAAGAGUACCUUCACCCAGAUAUGUAUGAGAGAGCCGUGCUUCGGAAAUCGAUUAACCGAAGUUUCACCGCUAAUGUUGAUUUGUGGUCUAUCGGAGUAACACUGUAUCACGUGGCUACCGGUAAUCUUCCCUUCCGUCCCUAUGGGGGACGCAAAAAUAAGGAAACGAUGCACCACAUAACCACCAAGAAAGCACCUGGUGUUAUAUCUGGUACUCAAACUAGCGAAAAUGGGCCAAUCGAAUGGUCUCGUCAGCUACCUCCCCACUGUCAACUGAAGGCUGGAUUAAAGUAUCUAGUAACGCCGCUCUUGGCUGGACUCUUGGAAGAAAAUCAAAAAAGGAUGUGGUCUUUUGAUCGCUUUUUCUACGAAGUCCAGCAUAUUUUGAACAAAAAGCGCAUUCACAUUUUCUACGUUAAUAGAGCUACUUCCAUUGAGGUCUAUAUGGAUCCAGACGAAACCUGCUUUAACUUAAAAGAGCACAUUUUCGUUCAAACCGAGGUACCCCAUAGUGCCCAGCGGCUGCUGAUGGACACCGAGUUGCAUGAACUUCGUGUGGGUACAAAUAGUACUGCUCGCGGUUAUCCGGACAAUGAGGUUGAAACUCCUCUGAUGCUAUUUAAUAUUGAAAAUAACAACGUGACACUUCCAGCUGAGCUUGAGCUGCCUAAGUUUCCAUCGUUUCCCAGCGGAGUGUCUGUGGAGAACGAUGCUAGUCUGGCAAAGGUCGCCUGCAGUGUGGGUCACGAGUGUAAGCGUCGCAUAGAAACCUUUUCCAGUUUGGACACACUCAUGAACAAGGCCGUGGAACAGUUUGCAGGGCUGCUGAAAAAUCUACUGGUUAAACUGCAGGAACGGGUAAAACAUCAUGAGGAUAUUGGUAAUUCCAUUUGGGAAAUGACCGAUUUGAUGGAAAUCGCGGUGUUGAACAAUGAGUCCUAUCAGGAUAAAGCAACUACAAUCAGCACGGAAUUAAAUGUACUGAAAGCAGAUUUUCAGCGCGUAUCGGAUCCAGUCCAGCAACUUUUUACUCGCUUUGUUUCGGAGGAAUCGCUCAGCCGUCAGUGGACUACGGCAUGCCGAGAGGUGCGCGGUCCAAAUAAACACCGCGUGAUUGAAAAGGCAAAAUAUCUGGUGGACCGCUUACGCGACUCCUGGCAGCAUUUGCUGCGCGAUCGUGCCACGCGAUCCCUAACGUACAAUGACGAGCAGUUCCAUGCACUGGAGAAAAUCAAAAUUACCGAAACCGGAAAGCGAGUGAAGACAUUGCUGAACGAUGACGUGCGCCCCGCCGUCGAAACCGAGGCUGAACAUUUGGCGGACUGGUAUAAAAAAGCCCAAACUAUCUAUCUACAGAUACAGUUUCUUCACAAGGAUGUCAGAUCGCACGAGGAAACGCUCUACGAUAUUCGUGACCGGUUGGUCCAGAUCAAAGAAGAUUUGAAGGAGGAUAUCAAGAACGAUGGGGAGGUAUCCAAGAUUGCCAACGAAACCACUGUGAACGAGCAGAACAUCGAGUGCAUGAAGAAAUCUAAGGAAAUGCAAUGCUAUUUGAGGACUUUGUUCAACUAUCAUCGUGAAAUCAAGAAGAUCAUGCAACAAAACAGCGAACUGGUCGAAGCAGUUCAUCAAAUAUCUAUGAACAGGGAGGAAGAUAGUUAAAGAUUGACCGGUUUGAUAACUAAGCAAAAAAUACUGAUAGCGGCAAUGUAAGUGGUGUACUUAAUCAUAGCGAAGUAUGUGUUGCGAUUAUCAUCUAUCAAGAAAGGUACCUCGCAACAUGAAUUUAUAUUUUCUGACAAAACAGUUGUUCAUCAAACGUAUAGAGCGUCGUUCACCAGUUGCAGUGAUGACCCUUUCGAUUCAUGUUACAUACCGUUACUUUAGACCAACAUGAAAGUAUUGCUGAAAUAUUCCUUGACUCUAUAUAUUAUAGUCAACCACCCUUAUUUUUGUUUACGACCGUAUCCAACUUUCGUACGCGUGUUUCGAGUUAAACAACCUUGAAAAUUCCUAUUUUUGAUUAAUCCGAAUUUAUUUGAACAACCAGAUAUAAGAGCUUACAAUAAUUUCGUACGAAGUUGGUUCGAACGAACACAUGAAAAGGGUGAAUAUUCCUAACCUAUGUUAUUUGUAUUAUUUUUAAAAUGCGAAAAUAAAUUUCAUAUAAUAAUGCCAAA